rnacentral:tRNA from 1 species
GGGCCCACCGGGCGGGGCGAACCAGAUUCGUCACCUGGGUGCCGGGGGUUCAACUCCCCCUGGGUCCA